rnacentral:rRNA from 1 species
GACGAACGCUGGCGGCGUGCUUAACACAUGCAAGUCGAACGGAAAGGCCCUGCUUGCAGGGUACUCGAGUGGCGAACGGGUGAGUAACACGUGGGUGAUCUGCCCUGCACUUCGGGAUAAGCCUGGGAAACUGGGUCUAAUACCGGAUAGGAGCCAUUUUUAGUGUGAUGGUUGGAAAGUUUUUUCGGUGUAGGAUGAGCUCGCGGCCUAUCAGCUUGUUGGUGGGGUAAUGGCCUACCAAGGCGGCGACGGGUAGCUGGCCUGAGAGGGUGGACGGCCACAUUGGGACUGAGAUACGGCCCAGACUCCUACGGGAGGCAGCAGGGGGGAAGAUUGCACAAUGGGCGCAAGCCUGAUGCAGCGACGCCGCGUGGGGGAUGACGGCCUUCGGGUUGAAAACUCCUUUCGCUAGGGACGAAGCUUUUUGUGACGGUACCUAGAUAAGAAGCACCGGCUAACUACGUG